GGCAUUGUUGUCUAGUGGUAGACUUUUUGCCUUCCAUGCAGGAGAUCCAGGUUCGAUUCCUGGCUGGCUG
rnacentral:tRNA from 1 species